rnacentral:rRNA from 1 species
AACGAACGCUGGCGGCAUGCCUAACACAUGCAAGUCGAACGAAACCUUCGGGUCUAGUGGCUCACGGGUGCGUAAAGGGGGGGAACCUGCGCUUAGGUUCGGAAUAACACCCCGAGAGGGGUGCUAAUACCGGGUAAUGUUUUCGGACCAAAGACUUAUCGCCUUUGGAUGUGGCAGCGUUGGUUUAGCUAGUUGGUAGGGUAAAAGCCUACCAAGGCGACGAUCCAUAGCUGGUUUGAGAGGAGGAUCAGCGACACUGGGACUGAGACACGGCCCAGACUCCUACGAGAAGCAGCAGAUGGGAAUAUUGGACAAUGAGCGAGAGGCUGAGACAGCGAGGCCGCGUGAGUGAUGAAGGCCUUAGGGUUGUAAAGCUCUUUUACCCGAGAUGAUAAUGACAGUACCGGGAGAAGAAGCUCCGGCUAACUACGUG